CAGGGAGAUACUUCCAAAAAACAGUAAUUGAACAUUUAAAGACGGUCCCUGUGGCUUGUCUGAAAGAUGUUACAUACAGACGUUGAGGUUGCCAUCUCGUAAGAGAGAAUCUGGAAGACUUUGGUCUGUGUUUCACAAAGGAAGAAGAUAACACUUGGCAUUUGCACUUAUACAGCAUGGAUGCCUUCCUCUGGUCCUUCCUGAGCAGUCUCUGGCUGACGCGUGAACGCGUGGAGUGUUGUCUUGACAACAGUUGAAGGUUUUGGAGAGAGAAUGGCAGCGGGAGGACUCAUCUGUGGAACCGUAUCAGUUUGAACCGGUGUCGCACCAGAACAAGAUGGCGGCCGCAAAGAAGUUCGACAA